UCAUCAGUGUUGUUUGUGUGUCUUGGUGGCUUCCUUCACUAGUUUCCUUCUUGCACUCAGGUUUUGAGAGCUUCCUCCUCCGGACAAUUUAACUGUUUACUGGUGUAUUUUCAGC